rnacentral:rRNA from 1 species
GGCCUAACACAUGCAAGUCGAACGCGAAAGUCCCGCAAGGGAUUAGUAGAGUGGCAAACGGGUGAGUAACACGUGGGUGACCUGCCUUCGAGUGGGGGAUAACGUCCCGAAAGGGACGCUAAUACCGCAUGACAUCCUGCCUUUGAAGAGGUGGAGCUUAAAGCUGGGGAUCGCAAGACCUGGCGCUUGAAGAGGGGCCCGCGCCUGAUUAGCUAGUUGGUGAGGUAACGGCUCACCAAGGCAUCGAUCAGUAUCCGGCCUGAGAGGGCGGACGGACACACUGGGACUGAGACACGGCCCAGACUCCUACGGGAGGCAGCAGUGGGGAAUUGUUCGCAAUGGGCGCAAGCCUGACGACGCAACGCCGCGUGGAGGAUGAAGAUCUUCGGGUCGUAAACUCCUUUCGAUCGAGACGAACGGCUUCCGGGUGAACAAUCCGGAAGAGUGACG